AGCAGCCACUCAUUAAAAGAGUGCGUAAUAGCUCACUGGUCGAGUGACUCUGCGCGGAAAAUAUAACGGGGCUAAGCGUAACACCGAAGCUUGGGCUGCACAGCAAUGUGCGGGGUAGGGGAGCGUCGAAUAUGGGGUGAAGUCGCAGCGGAAGCAGCGGUGGACUGUAUUCGAGUGAGAAUGCCGGAAUGAGUAGCGAGAAUUAUGUGGGAAUCAUAAUGGCCGAAAAUCUAAGGUUUCUUGGGGAAGGUUCGUCCGCCCAAGGUUAGUCGGGAGCUAAGCUCAGGCCGAAAGGCGUAGGCGAUGCACAUACGGUAGAAAUUCCGUAACCACCGAACAUUUAAGCUAGAGGGACGCUUUCUUUAAGGUUAUCCCGGGCGAUGGUUGCCCCGGGCGUAAGGGACCGAAAUAUAGUAGGGAAGUAACUGGCGAGAGAGACGAGAAAAGCUCUAGUGUAUACUAAGGUGCCCGUACCGCAAACCGACACAGGUAGAAGGGAUGAGUAUUCUAAGGCCAACGGGAGAAGGGUUGUUAAGGAACUCGGCAAAUUGGCCCCGUAACUUCGGGAUAAGGGGCGCCUGCGAGAGCAGGCCGCAGUGAAAAGGCCCAAGCGACUGUUUAGCAAAAACACAGCUCUCUGCUAAAUCGAAAGAUGACGUAUAGGGGGUGACGCCUGCCCGGUGCUGGAAGGUUAAGGGGAGUGCUUAGCGCAAGCGAAGGUGCGAACUUAAGCCCCAGUAAACGGCGGCCGUAACUAUAACGGUCCUAAGGUAGCGAAAUUCCUUGUCAGGUAAGUUCUGACCCGCACGAAAGGCGUAACGAUUUGGGCGCUGUCUCAGCUGUAGACUCGGUGAAGUCUUAGUACCUGUGAAGAUGCAGGUUACCCGCGACUAGACGGAAAGACCCCAUGGAGCUUCACUGCAGGUUGAUAUUGGGAUUUGAUGCAGCAUGUACAGGAUAGGUAGGAGGCAAAGAGAUGGAUACGCCAGUAUUCAAGGAGCCGCUGUUGGGAUACUACCCCUGUUGUAUUGGAUUUCUAACCGGACGACGUAGAGCCGUUGACGGGACAGUGUCAGUCGGGCAGUUUGACUGGGGCGGUCGCCUCCCAAAGAGUAACGGAGGCGCCCAAAGAUACCCUCAGCUUGGAUGGAAACCAAGCGCAGAGUGCAAAGGCAAAAGGGUGUUUGACUGCGAGACCCACAAGUCGAGCAGGGACGAAAGUCGGGCUUAGUGAUCCGGCGGUGCUGAAUGGAAAGGCCGUCGCUCAACGGAUAAAAGCUACCCUGGGGAUAACAGGCUGAUCUCCCCCAA
rnacentral:rRNA from 1 species